rnacentral:lncRNA from 1 species
UGGGGAGUCAUGGUAACUGUAAACAAAGAUUUAGAACACUAAUAAAGUGUCGGGCGCCAACGAGGUUGACUCUGUGCAGAUACUAAAAGCAAGUAAGCUGGGGGACCCCAGCCAUUUGGGCUGGUGGGGAGCAGGAAGAGGCCAGGAACAGAGAGUGAGAGAAAGAGGGAUUUGCAUGCUGAAACCCCCAUGUUCAGGGCCCGUGGCUUAGGCACUUGAGGUAGAUGCUGUUGGAUGGGCAGAAAAUCCCAGGCCCUGGCUGCUUGGCCCAAAUGUGGUUCUUUACAGAGAAUCCCAGAGUUGGACAAUUAGAAGCAAAACACUUAGAAGGCAAAUGAAGGCAAACUAAAAAGGUCAAAGGGACCCAAGGAAAUGUGAGUAAAACACCAACGUAUAUGCUAACUUAAGAUGUGCUAACAGAGAUGCUAACUU